rnacentral:rRNA from 1 species
UGCCUAAUACAUGCAAGUCGAACGCUUCUUUCCUCCCGAGUGCUUGCACUCAAUUGGAAAGAGGAGUGGCGGACGGGUGAGUAACACGUGGGUAACCUACCCAUCAGAGGGGGAUAACACUUGGAAACAGGUGCUAAUACCGCAUAACAGUUUAUGCCGCAUGGCAUAAGAGUGAAAGGCGCUUUCGGGUGUCGCUGAUGGAUGGACCCGCGGUGCAUUAGCUAGUUGGUGAGGUAACGGCUCACCAAGGCCACGAUGCAUAGCCGACCUGAGAGGGUGAUCGGCCACACUGGGACUGAGACACGGCCCAGACUCCUACGGGAGGCAGCAGUAGGGAAUCUUCGGCAAUGGACGAAAGUCUGACCGAGCAACGCCGCGUGAGUGAAGAAGGUUUUCGGAUCGUAAAACUCUGUUGUUAGAGAAGAACAAGGACGUUAGUAACUGAACGUCCCCUGACGGUAUCUAACCAGAAAGCCACGGCUAACUACGUGCCAGCAGCCGCGGUAAUACGUAGGUGGCAAGCGUUGUCCGGAUUUAUUGGGCGUAAAGCGAGCGCAGGCGGUUUCUUAAGUCUGAUGUGAAAGCCCCCGGCUCAACCGGGGAGGGUCAUUGGAAACUGGGAGACUUGAGUGCAGAAGAGGAGAGUGGAAUUCCAUGUGUAGCGGUGAAAUGCGUAGAUAUAUGGAGGAACACCAGUGGCGAAGGCGGCUCUCUGGUCUGUAACUGACGCUGAGGCUCGAAAGCGUGGGGAGCAAACAGGAUUAGAUACCCUGGUAGUCCACGCCGUAAACGAUGAGUGCUAAGUGUUGGAGGGUUUCCGCCCUUCAGUGCUGCAGCAAACGCAUUAAGCACUCCGCCUGGGGAGUACGACCGCAAGGUUGAAACUCAAAGGAAUUGACGGGGGCCCGCACAAGCGGAGGAGCAUGUGGUUUAAUUCGAAGCAACGCGAAAAACCUUACCAGGUCUUGACAUCCUUUGACCACUCUACAGAUAGAACAUAUCCCUUCGGGGACAAGUGACCAAGUGGUGCAUGGUUGUCGUCAGCUC